UGGGGAAUCUUCCGCAAUGGACGAAAGUCUGACGGAGCAACGCCGCGUGAGUGAAGAAGGCCUUCGGGUUGUAAAGCUCUGUCUUCAGGGACGAAUGUGGGUGAGGUGAAUAAUCUCAUUCAAUGACGGUACCUGAGGAGGAAGCCACGGCUAACUACGUGCCAGCAGCCGCGGUAAUACGUAGGGGGCGAGCGUUGUCCGGAAUUACUGGGCGUAAAGGGUGCGUAGGCGGUUCUUUAAGUUGGAUGUGAAAUACCCGGGCUUAACCUUGGGGGUGCAUUCAAGACUGGGGAACUAGAGUUCAGGAUAGGGAAGCGGAAUUCCUAGUGUAGCGGUGAAAUGCGUAGAUAUUAGGAGGAACACCAGUUGCGAAGGCGGCUUUCUGGACUGACACUGACGCUGAGGCACGAAAGCGUGGGGAGCAAACA
rnacentral:rRNA from 1 species